rnacentral:rRNA from 1 species
UUCCGGAGAGGUAGCCUGAGAAACGGCUACCACAUCUAAGGAAGGCAGCAGGCGCGCAAAUUACCCAAUCCUAAUACAGGGAGGUAGUGACAAGAAAUAACAAUACAGAACCUUACGGUUUUGUAAUUGGAAUGAGUUAAGUAUAAACCCCUUAACAAGUAUCAAUUGGAGGGCAAGUCUGGUGCCAGCAGCCGCGGUAAUUCCAGCUCCAAUAGCGUAUAUUAAAGUUGUUGCAGUUAAAAAGCUCGUAGUUAAUCUUCUGUUAAUUUUUAUAUAUAAUAUCACGAUAUUUAUAUAAUAUUAACAUAAUUCAUAUUACUUUUUAGUAUAUGAAACUUUACUUUGAGAAAAUUAGAGUGCUUAAAGCAGGCUAUUGCCUUGAAUACUCCAGCAUGGAAUAAUAUUAAGGAUUUUUAUUCUUCUUAUUGGUUCUAGAAUAAAAAUGAUGAUUAAUAGGGACAGUUGGGGGCAUUUGUAUUUAACAGUCAGAGGUGAAAUUCUUAGAAUUGUUA